rnacentral:ribozyme from 1 species
UUUUUUUUUUUUUUUUUUUUUUUUUUUUUUUUUUCGUCAAGCGCGCGCAAAGACCAACACCGCUGUGUUGCUCAGAGUUGGCUCACUCA